UAUAUUUGUGUUACUUGUAGGCAUCAAUAUUUACCAUUUGGAUGUUAAACAGAAAUAUCUUUCACCAUUUAAAAAGAAUAAGGACUAAAUAUAGUUUAGCAUAAAUAACAUUUUUAAAUUGAAAAAUAACUGCUUUUCCAAGUGGAAAAGCUGACAAGAACAGCCUUGCUUUUUACCACUCCUGGAGCUGGGUUCCAGUGUGGCCUUGUAUUGGUUCUGCUGGAAUUUGGCCUUUACUAAGGUAUGCAGAGCUUCAUUGAACACUAAUAGGGUGAGAGUAAGCAAGGGAUUUUUUGUCAACUUCUGGGUCUGGACCCUACUCUGAGCUCUAUCUCAGGAGUUCUCCCUGGGGGAAGUGAGUGGAAGGGGAGAACAGUGUUCUUGUCAGCUUCUGUUGGUCAGUGUUACAGCUGCUUGGAUAAGUGGGAAGGACUGGGAGGAAAAGCUGGUCUCUGGAUGAAGUGAGAUUAUUGUUGGUCAUGUUAGCCCUUGGUUCUAUUCCUAAUAGGAAGCUGGGCAGAAGGGUAAGACACUAAACAUUACUAGGGUGGCAUUUCUUUUCUUAGCAGGUGGGUGGAGUUCUGUGGCAGUGUAGCUUCAAGUUGACCUCCAGACAGGGUAAGAUAGACUUCUACCUAUAUCCUGCUACGGAAUUCCAUCCCUAAGUGAUUAUUACCUUCGGUUUGUGCCUGCAGUUGCAGUCUGUAGGGCCACUUCUGCUGUAAACAAUGGAGAGCUACUGAGGCCUGACACCUCACUACUGGGAUAGAAGGAAUAAACUUUCAUACUAGUUUGUCCUCAGUAGUGUGACUAGGUUCACUCUUCUUACUGUGUCUUUUUUCUGUAACCUUGUGAACCGUCUUUGUGCCAUCACAAGAUGUGAUGGACCCUAGUACUCAAGGGCCAGUGCUCUUGGUAGCUAGCAAGGGAAAACAUAGAAGCAGCCAUGUUGACCGGAGAAUGGGAGUCUGCUCUGUCCCUAGCCUGCCUGUGCUGGGCUUUGCUUUUUAUCAAAAUGAUUAUUUCUUAAUAAAAUGUUUAGCUUUUUGUUUUAUUUAGUUUUGUUUUUUGAGACAGGGUUUCUUUGUGUAGUCUUGGCUGUCCUGGAGCUAGCUGUGUAGACCAGGGUGACCUCAAACUCACAGAGAUCCACCUGCUUCUGCCUCUCCUCUGCUGGGAUUAAUGGCAUGUGCCACCACCUUCUGGUGUUUAACAAUUUUUAAAUUAUUAUUUCUUAUUCUAUAUGUAUGUAUUUUGGUCUGAGUACUCAGCACUUCCUACACAUCCUGGAUUUACCUGCUGAGUAUGCUGCCUGGCACCUUGUAAUUGGCAGAGUGGUAUUGCUGAAGGAGGGAAGAAUCUGUAACAACAGACCAGAGCAAGCACCUGACUCCUCAAGACACUGUGCUUCCACUUAGUGACUGUAUUUAGCCAGGUUUCUUUGAGAGCUGCUCACCUUAGUCAUGGGCCUGCGCAUGAUAUAAGCUUUGCUGGCAGCAGACUCCACAGGAUCUUACCAAUGAGUAGAAUCUGUGUAUGAGGGACUGGUGGCCUUACAGGAAGGGUAGGCUGGGGGUACAUAAGAGACUAUCAUUGAGCUGGAGUUGUUAUAGCAGGGUAGAGGACACACCACACACGGCAGGCAGCCAGAUACUCCCUGAGCUCUGGUGUCACUGAGUGGGUGGGCUGAGAUGGGAGGGGUCAAACCAUAAUCUUGGCUCUUGGCUCUAACUUGUGGUCUCUCUCUGACCUGCUUUUCUCCUGAAAAAUGAGUGAAUCAUUAUCCUUUCCUUACCGAAGGUAGAGACAACUCAGUCCUUGCAGUGGCACCCCACACAGUGUUUAGAACCUGGGAAGCCAGGAGAGAAAGUUAGGUUGCCAUUUUGCCAUGUUGUAUUGAUGGUGUUUAAG
rnacentral:lncRNA from 1 species